AUCAGUUUGGUUUGCUUGCAAACCAAAGCUGGCGACCGGCGCACGGGUGAGUAACACGUAUCCAACCUGCCUCAUACUCGGGGAUAGCCUUUCGAAAGAAAGAUUAAUAUCCGAUAGCAUAUAUUUCCCGCAUGGGUUUUAUAUUAAAGAAAUUCGGUAUGAGAUGGGGAUGCGUUCCAUUAGUUUGUUGGCGGGGUAACGGCCCACCAAGACUACGAUGGAUAGGGGUUCUGAGAGGAAGGUCCCCCACAUUGGAACUGAGACACGGUCCAAACUCCUACGGGAGGCAGCAGUGAGGAAUAUUGGUCAAUGGACGCGAGUCUGAACCAGCCAAGUAGCGUGAAGGAUGGCUGCCCUAUGGGUUGUAAACUUCUUUUAUAUGGGAAUAAAGUGGUCCACGUGUGGAUUUUUGUAUGUACCAUAUGAAUAAGGAUCGGCUAACUCCGUGCCAGCAGCCGCGGUAAUACGGAGGAUCCGAGCGUUAUCCGGAUUUAUUGGGUUUAAAGGGAGCGUAGGCGGAUUGUUAAGUCAGUUGUGAAAGUUUGCGGCUCAACCGUAAAAUUGCAGUUGAUACUGGCAGUCUUGAGUGCAGUAG
rnacentral:rRNA from 1 species